rnacentral:rRNA from 1 species
CCUACGGGAGGCAGCAGUGAGGAAUAUUGGUCAAUGGGCGUAAGCCUGAACCAGCCAAGUCGCGUGAGGGAUGAAGGUUCUAUGGAUCGUAAACUUCUUUUAUAAGGGAAUAAAGUGUGGGACGUGUCCUGUUUUGUAUGUACCUUAUGAAUAAGGAUCGGCUAACUCCGUGCCAGCAGCCGCGGUAAUACGGAGGAUCCGAGCGUUAUCCGGAUUUAUUGGGUUUAAAGGGUGCGUAGGCGGCCUGUUAAGUCAGCGGUGAAAGUUUGUGGCUCAACCAUAGAAUUGCAGUUGAAACUGGGAGUCUUGAGUAUGUUUGAGGCAGGCGGAAGGCGUGGUGUAGCGGUGAAAUGCUUAGAUAUCACGCAGAACCCCGAUUGCGAAGGCAGCCUACCAAGCCAUGACUGACGCUGAUGCACGAAAGCGUGGGGAUCAAACAGGAUUAGAUACCCGUGUAGUC